UGGGCCGGCCGUAUUCAGAGGCCAUCGACGUUUGGUCGUUAGGCUGCGUGAUGGCCAGGAUGAUGACUCAAGAUAGUCUCUUUGGAUCAGACUCAGAAUACUGGACACUCCGACGCAUGAUCCAUCUGCUGGAUCUGCCGCCGCAAUAUCUCAUCGAUGCUGGCCGGAGAUCACGAUUAUUUUUUGAGAGAAUGCCAAAUGAUUGGUGGCGGCUGAAGACACCUAUGGAUUAUUUUGGGACCGAUCUCGUCCACUCCGACCCCACAGUUUACAAGUUCGACUCUCUGGAAGAAAUGAAAACG